UGAGAUCUCACUAUUUGCCAGAGCUGGUCUUGAACUCUUAGGCUCAAGUGAUUCUCCUGCCUCAGCCUCCCAAAAAAGUGUUGGGAUUACAGGUGUGAGCCACCAUACCCGGCCAGUUUUAUUAGAGAGUUUUAAAUAAUUGUGAUAAUAAUGUCAUUAUUAUUUUGACACUCAUUAUCACAUCAAAGAAAAAAAAAUCCCUCUUAAAACAAUGGUUAGUAGAGGAAUUGACCUGCCCAAGUACUGACUUGUAUGUGUCCUUCCUUCUAACACACCCCUUCUAGCUGCUCAAUACCAUAGCCUUGGCAGACCCUGGCCGGAUCCCAGUGGCCCUUCCUGCAAUGAUUGACAUGGACAAAACUCACACAUAUCUUGCUGCAAUUGUGGCCCACAUAACCCUAUCAUCAAGAUCAUCUAACAGCCCUAGAUUAGUGCUGUGGAAGUCUUGCCAUUGGCUUUAGGCCAUUUUGACUUUAGAUGAUUCUAACAGAGUGCAAGGGUUUUAAACUGUUUCUCCUGACCUCUGUUCUUCCAUAAUUCCGGAAGAAUUUUUUUUUGUUAUAUGGACACUUUAUUAUCAUUACUAUUUUCCCAGAGAAUAGUAGUCUUUUGGACUUCCUGCUGGUAAUGACUCAUUUGGCAAAUUCAAAGUAACCAUUUACUGGGCAAUACACAAGGGAUUCAUAGACCUGAGCUCUGAUAUAAGCACAUUUACUAAUCUCAGGAUCACCAUUGUAAAGGAGACAGAAAUCUUAGAGAUCAUCUAUACAGCUGUGCUGCCCCUGAGUCCUCAGAUGUGUUUCAGGAUGUGUUAUCAUUUUGAAAUUCUAUGCAAAAGUUGGUGUAUUUUGCACAAACCCAGGGCUAUUUUAAGACGGUUCAUAACUUAUCAAAAUUUCAAAGGAGUUCUUGAUUCACAAAAGAAACACUGUCUCUAACUCCCUCGAUAUCCAGAGGGAAAGCGAACCCUGAAGUGACAGUUCAAGGUCUAACAACAUGGGAACAGAGCAGGGACUCUUAACAAGGCCCCGUGACUCUCAGUGUCAUGUACUUCCCACCACCCCACACUUCUUGGUGUUGGAACAGAACUAUUUCACCAUAGCUACUAUCACAGUCAAAGCAACCAGUGUUCCCACUUUUGUCUUUAUAGGAGAGAAUAAACGUACUUAACUGAAAAAAAAAAAUGUAUACAUGUUAUACGUACACAUAUAUCUUAGGAACAUUACCAACUUAUAGCUCCAACAAGACUUAUGUUUGGCAAAAUAUUGAAUCCCAUACACUGGUUGAGAAUUAUUUUCCGCUUGAGCUUUCUGUUUGUAAUCAAAGAGCCCCAAUUAAGAAUUUUACAUAUUAUGAUCCAUUGGGUGACCAUAGCAUUUACAUGAUUAUUUCAGCCUGAGAAAUGAUUUAAUAGCAAGUAUAAAUGGGUUAUAGAAAAAUUCAAGUGAUUAGAAUUGAGAAGUUAGGGAAAACAAGUGUCUAGGUUUGGGAUGGGGUGAUGGGGAGGUGGGAUUAGCCAAUGAAAAGUCCCAAGAGCCUACCUUUCCACAUUCCCCCAGUCUCUCCUUCUCCAAGAGUUUUUGGGACUCCUUUUCCCAAUAGGCCAUCAGUGCCUCUCUGCUGAAUGUCCCUGUGGGGGUUUUCUCAGUCAGGCUCUUCUGCCUUAGCCCCACGGGAAGGUUGCGGUCAGGUUCAAUGUCUUCCAACUCUCUCUCUAGCUCCUUCAGCUCCUCAGCUGACAGGGAGGCGAGGAGUUCAUCCUCGUCGAUGGAUUCAUAUUUACUGAGUCCUCUUCGGUAGCCAAAGGUAGACAUGGUCCCUGCUUUGUCAGACCCAGAAGGAGCUUGAAGGACCAGGCAUUCAAGGCAGCCAGAAGCAGGCAGGGGGGCAAGUGGCAGACUGGUCAACAACUGGUGCUAGGAGUGGCUGCGGGAGCCUUUUAAGAGUGGUGAUACAGGGCUGUGACAAUGCAGAGAGGGGUGAAAGCAUGGGCUGUUUUAAGCAUCAGACGUCAGCCAGACAUUUGAACACAAAGAAUGUCACAUCGGUGGUGGAUGGAGGUCUCAGAACCAGUGGGGAUUAUUAACAUACUGGCCAGGGCCAUAUUUAGCUGAGCCUGAUAGCUCAUGAGGACAGGCAGAGAGUGUUUCAGAUAAGGAGUAACAUAGUUCUUCUCACUUUGUAUUCAAACAACAGGGGAAUAAAAUUUAUUUUGAAAAUGACUUGCCGCCACCACCAUGGCCAUGAAAAGAUUUUUUCAUUAUAAUCUUCGGGUUGAGAAAUGUCUCCACAGUACUGCAUGGAUGUUGGCAACCGAGGCAUGGAGAGAUUAAGUGUAACGUCAGAAGUCAGAGAGCUGAAAGUACAGAGAAGUGCCUCUCUCCACUGAACGAAAUGCUUCCUCCUUCUCACCAUGAUUACUAGUGAAAAACUAGACUUGCAAAUAAAACUCUAAAAA